UGCACUAUUUUUAAACAAAUAGGAAUUUUGCCCAUUCGUGCCCCAUUCAUGGUUACACUGUAUGCAAAAGAAUACCUGGCUCUUUGCUGCACAGCAGACUUGUGCCGUUGGUUGUUGCUUUAUGGAGUUAAGGAACAUGG
ensembl:snoRNA